GGUCCUUCCCUGCACCCGGGGCUGGGCUGGUGCUCCCUGAGGCGGGGCUGCCUCUCGGAGGCUAGCAGAGUCCGCCUUGGCCAGAGCUCUGCGCCACCCAUUGCCGAGCGAGAAGGCACGCGUGCGGGCUGCCAGAUGUCAGUUCUGUAAUGAAACUCGCGUCCAAAGCCCCGCUGAUGACAAAAUAAAGCAGGCUGCGGCAGGCACGGGAAAUGCCGGGAAGCAUUCCACGGAGGCUGAGCUCCGGAGUCGUGACUGAGAUGCCCACACAUGUGCACACACGCACACAGGCACUCACACACGCAUGUGCAUUCACACAUGUCAUAGAGGCUCGGGAACCACGCUGGCCUCGGAGGCUGACUAACCUGCAACGGAUGCAGAGGCACAGAGAACUGUGAAUGCUUUAGGGAUUGUCAUGUGGGAGAGAAAUUCGCGUUAAGGUG